AUGGAGUUUUGCAGAAUCCACUUAGCGGCCGUAGUGUCACUGGUGCUUCUAUUUCCAAGCACCACCAUAGCCUGGGGAGAAGAUGGGCACGCCAUUAUCUGUAAGAUCGCUCAGCCCCGGCUGAACAAGGCGGCUGCGGAAGCCGUGCAGGAUCUGCUGCCAAAAUAUGCAAAAAAUGAUUUGGGGAGUGUCUGCUCAUGGGCAGAUCAUGUUAAGUUCAUCUUUCCCUGGUCAUCUGCCUUGCAUUACAUUGAUACUCCUGACAACAUUUGCAAUUACCAGUACAACAGGGAUUGCAAGGAUGAGGAUGGACUCAAGGGAAGAUGUGUUGCAGGAGCCAUCAACAAUUACACCAACCAGCUCCUCAGCUAUGGCAGCGAUUCAGAUUCACAAUAUAACCUCACCCAGGCACUUCUAUUCCUUUCUCAUUUCAUGGGAGAUAUACAUCAGCCUCUCCAUGUGGGCUUUACUUCAGAUAGGGGUGGCAAUACAAUUGAUGUUCACUGGUUCACCAGAAAGACUAAUCUUCAUCAUGUUUGGGAUGAUAACAUAAUAGAGACAGCAGAGCAAAGAUUCUACGACUCUAACAUGGAUGGUUUCAUUGAUGCAAUUCAGCAGAAUAUUACGAAAGAAUGGUCUGAUCAAGUAAGAGACUGGGAGACCUGUAAUGAUAGCAAGACCACAUGCCCAAAUAUAUAUGCAUCAGAAAGCAUCAAAGCAGCAUGCGAAUGGGCAUACAAAGAUGUCUCUGAAAACUCAGUACUUGGAGAUGAUUACUUCUCAUCUCGUUUGCCAACAGUAAAUCUGAGGUUAGCUCAAGGAGGAGUUCGUUUGGCAGCCACACUAAAUCGUAUUUUUAGCUGAAAUAGCAACUUUGCUGUAAUCUAUCGAAACAUGAAAGAGAUCUAUUAUUCCUGGGGAAUGAAAAAUUUCUAGCUCAGGUUUCUUGUAAACUAAGCAUCCACAACAAUCAGAACCAAAGCAUAAGAAAACUUAUAUGAAUCCAAAGGCACAUCAGCUUUUUGGAACAGCGGGAACCAACCAUGUUUUUAAUAAUGCCUAAGAAGUGAUGACAUCACUUUUAUCAACGGGUUUGAUCAAAAACCUGAAUUUGUAUGAUGUUGUUAA